rnacentral:rRNA from 1 species
UACGUAGGGUGCAAGCGUUAAUCGGAAUUACUGGGCGUAAAGCGUGCGCAGGCGGUUAUAUAAGACAGUUGUGAAAUCCCCGGGCUCAACCUGGGAACUGCAUCUGUGACUGUAUAGCUAGAGUACGGUAGAGGGGGAUGGGAAUUCCGCGUGUAGCAGUGAAAUGCGUAGAUAUGCGGGAGGAACACCGAUGGCGAAGGGCAAUCCCCCUGGAC